rnacentral:rRNA from 1 species
UACGUAGGGGGCGAGCGUUGUCCGGAUUUAUUGGGCGUAAAGAGCUUGUAGGCGGUUUGUCGCGUCUGCUGUGAAAAUCCGGGGCUCAACCCCGGACUUGCAGUGGGUACGGGCAGACUAGAGUGUGGUAGGGGAGACUGGAAUUCCUGGUGUAGUGGUGAAAUGCGCAGAUAUCAGGAGGAACACCGGUGGCGAAGGCGGAUCUCUGGGCCAUAACUGACGCUGAGGAGCGAAAGCAUGGGGAGCGAACAGG